AACAGUGCCAAAGCGUGAGUGUAGCGGCUAGUGCGGGGCGGCCACACCACUGCCGACCCCUAUACCCCUGCGGAAGGACACGGGGCCAGCGGCGGUGUCAGAGGGGAGUGCCACAGCCCCGACCCGAGGACCGUACAGUGCCAGUGGUGGGAGUGAUGGUGACGGCGGUGGUGCCAGGUGAUAGUGGUGGUGGUGAUAAUGGUGAUGGUGGUGGUGACAGUGCCGUGCCAGGGUGCCAAGCGGCCCUCCCAGCGGCGGUGGUGGCUUCGGGAUUCCCUUAUUGAACGAAUGCGGGAGUUUAUCGAGGAGAACGAGAAGACUGACCCGCUCAUCCACGCCCCCGACAAGAAGAACAACCCGUGGGCCGAAAAGGGCAAGUGCGUCAUUAUGUAAGGCCGAGGAUAGAAGCAGGGAGAGUCGCCGCGUGUACCACUGUCUCGCCCCAACACACGCACGGGCACUACGCCUCUCACUUCUCCCUUCUUGCCUCUAAUCUAUUCCUCCUCCCCCUUCUUCUUCUUUUCCUACCACCUCCAGGGCCUCCGUCGCCGCCACUGUCGCGAGGGCCUGCCACAACCAACACUCAUAUACUCACUACCCAUAUGUCCCUCGUGCUUCUUUUACUUUCAGGUGCUCUUAAAUACUCUCCUUCUCAUCUAUCUAUCACCACACACAGACACACACACCAGAACCCUCCCACACCCCAGACGAAGGAAAGGUCGUUCUGGGAGGCCCUGUAAGCCAAGCCAAGCCACGCUAGCCCAGACCUGCACUAUUCCUCUCUCAAGCGGACCCGUCACGCAGCCAGUCAGUCAGUCGGCCUCUCCUUGGGCAGUGCUUGGAGGCCCUUGCUCUCCUCCCAUCCAACUCGUAGAGGAUCUACUGCUCCUCUGCGGCCACCACGCAUCAAGGACUGACAACAUCUUCAGGAUCCAAGACAGCGAUGACCUUCCCCGCAGAGCCACCACCACGUGAAGAGGGCGGCUUUUCAGGCUCCUACUCGAGUGUGGACCGCCUGAUCGCCCUCCAAAGGCCUCGAAACACCCACUGGCGUCAUUAACAAGACUUCUCCGGCCAGUAAUUCUUCAGCCACUUCUCCAGGCAUUUCCUCGACACUACUUUAGCAAUCACGAGGAGCCUGCGUUCCCGAGUCAGCAGCGGGACAUCUUCAAAUCGUCAGGAAUGGGCUGGCAGUCUUCUCAAAGCCUAGCGCGGCCACACCAGAAGUAAACUCAUUGUUCCCUAAGACUGAAGAACCGACUCGCGACGGUGGUGGUGAUGGUGGUGGUGGUGACAUGGCGAGGUGGUGCGGUGUUGGGUGUGAGUGACGACGCGGCGAUUGGGGGUUGGGCGGCAGAGGCGGCGGCGGCGGCGGCGGCGGCGGCGUGCUGCUGCUGACGGCGCCGCCACUACUGCUGCUGCUGCUCAUUAUUUAGUCAACCCGACGCUGGAACAUUGGUUACUUUUCUAGGAUUCCCGUUUUUUACGAUCCCCCAUACUAUAGUUUUGUACAUCUUGAAGACAUUCAACUCCUCCUCCUCCUCCUCCUCCUCCUCCUCCUCCUGAUCCUUGUCCUUCUCCUCUUCCCACCCCCCUACUCCUCUUCCUCCUCCUUUCCCAGUUCAUUCCUUCCUCCUGAGGGUUAUCGAAGUUCAAACUCGUCAUUCCCAGUCAUAAUUUUAAUAAGAUGUACCUUUAGCAGCGCUGCCUCACCGGGGCGGCGCCGCGGGGAGUUGCCCACACACACCAGGGCACAGCCGGGAUCACGUUUCCCCUCUACGUGCCCCAACGCUCCAGGCACGUCCCCGCCCCCCUCGUCCCGGCCGCCGCUCAUCACCGGUCUUCGCGCAGGACACCACGCAUGUAAAAGCACGAUGAAAGCAAAAAUACUCUGUUGUCUUUGUAUUUGUUCUGUUGAUGCGGUUUGGUGUGUGGUGGCGCAGCGCAGCGGCCCGUGUCUGACGCGACGUCCUCGGCGAGCGCAGCGUGUGGCGAGGCGGGGCGCGGCGAGGGGCUCAGCGGUGAUGCUCGACGCAGAGGCUUCACCCACGCCCCCGAGCCGAGGGGCGAGCUGAUCCCUGGCUGGCGGUCCCUGACUCAUCCAAAACAACCCUGAUGGUUACUAACUACUGGUCCCUGACUCCCUUCACCUAAGGCUCUCAGGUCCUCAAAGGGCGUAGAAAACUCGGUGUCUAGUCUGUGUGAUGACCCACCCAAAUCUCGCCCUCCCGGCCACCUCAACCUUGAUGCAGACGUCGGGACACAGGUGACCGCAGCCUCGGACCGCCUCGCCUCUCGGCCACGCCACGGCAAAGGUGGAAUGUAAUUUGUAAUGUUCGCACCACCUGUAGAACACACACACACACACACACACACACACACACACACACACACACACACACACACACACACCACGUAUUCUAGUACACAUACAUGCAUACACACCACACCAAUGACACCUUUCAAGUAUGUAUUCCGAUAGCAAAUAGCAAUCAUAACCAUCCCUUUACGACACAAAAACUGUUAAAAAAAAAAAUUAACGAUAAGACAAUACUCGUACCCUGCGUGAGGGAGGCGUGCGUGAGGCAGUGAGCGGGGGCCGCGGUGUGGAGGCCGCCCCGCCGCCCCACCACACUCUAGUCCCCGGCGGGAGAAGCACGGGCGCCCGGCACAGUCAGGAGCAUAAUCAGCCGGGUUCAGUGACGCCCCACCUGUCCUAGUCAACUAUUAUUAGGGAUUAUUAUGCUGUAGGUGCCCUCCCCUUCCCUCCCCUCCUCUCCUCCCAGCCCUCCCUGCCCUCCCUGCCUCCCUCCCCCCUGCCCCCUCCCCUUGCCCCCUCAGUGAAGGCAGCCUGGUCGUCAGCUUCUAGAGGAGUCACCGCCAGGAGGGCCAGCCAGUACCCCUGUCCUCAGCUGGGCUGGCGGCAGGCGGCGACUGACUGACUGCUGCUACGCCUGGAGGAGCUCUCUCUCUCUCUCUCUCUCUCUCUCUCUCUCUCUCUCUCUCUCUCUCUCUCUCUCUCUCUCUCUCUCUCUCUCUCUCUCUCUCUCUCUCUCUACGGGCCAGGUCCUCCACACGUCUCCACUUCCUAUGAAGACGUAAUCUACAAUAAUCCACCCCUUCUCCCCCUCCCCCCAUUUCCCCUCCCUCUUGGCCCCAGAUCCCCCCACCCUCCCCCUUCCAAAACCUUCCAAGCUGACGCCAAGGGAAGUGUAAUGUCGCUAUAUUAUGAGUGUGACCAGAACAAGAGGAAAGAGAAAGAGAAGAGAUAAAGAAUGACUGAUAUGAAGAAAGAAAACUGUGAGGGAGUGAUGUGUCUUCAAGGAUCAGGCAGAGAGGAAAUAUUGAAUUGACAAGAUAAGAAAAAAAAAAAAAAAAAAAAGGGCAGAGAAUGAGACGGAAAGAGUGGAUGUGUAAAUCAAGGAGAAAUGCAUCACGUUAAGAUACAAAGAAAGACAAGGAAAGAAGGAAAGAAAAUGAAAGAGAGAGAGAGAGAGAGAGAAACACCAGUCAAACAUAACGAAAAAGGAAAGAAACAAGUAAAAAAGGGAGAAAAAAAAGAGGAAAACAGAGGAAGGAACCAAGGAACAAAAAACUAAAGAAGAAAUAGAAAGAAAAAAAUAUUAGAGACAGGCACUUCCGGUUAAGCUUGAGAAAGAGAGAAAGGAAGGAAGGAAAGAUAAAAUAGAGAUAGAAAUAGAGAGAAGUGUGAGUUUCCAGUCAGCCUUACGGAUUCAAUCAUUUCUUUCCUCCUUCACCAUUACUCUUUACCGUUAAGGUCCUCAAAGGGUUAUACUACCUGGCCCCCCUUCCCUUCCCUCCCUCCUCACCCUUCCCCUCUUCCUCCCCUCCCUCCCCUCCCCUGCCUGAAGCCCUCAAGUACCAGCUUCAGGGAAUUAACAGGAGGAAGAAGAGGAGGAAGAGGAGGGAGGAGGAGGAAGAGGAAGAGGAGGAGGAGGAGGAAGAGGAAGAAUUUCAGGGGGCAUCAAUCUAAGUGUUCUCUUGAAGGAUAUUUAAAUAGUGUUGCGCUGUGAACGUCAUUAUUAUUAUUAUCAUUAUCAUUAUUAUUAUUAUUAUUAUUAUUAUUAUUAUUAUUGUAAGGGUGAAUGGUCAUAAGUGUUUUUUUCCGAGUUCUAGUUCUUUUUUAAUGAUGGACUACUAAUAUUGUUCUAUACAUACGUACUACUACUACUACUACUACUACUACUACUACUACUACUCUGUACUACUAGAUCAACUCACGGUUUUUUGAAUGUGCGUCUGUUUGUCUAUCUGUCUGUCCGUCUGUCCGUUGUACCUCGAGAGUCACCAUCAAGUGCUGUCUGUGUUGUCUGUUCCUCCUCCUCCUCCUCCUCCUUCUCCUCCUUCUCCUUAUAAUCAUCUAAUUUCUCAUUCUAUUCCUCCUUCUCCUCCUUCUCCUUAUAAUCCUCUAAUUCCUCAUUCUAUUCCAUCUACAUUUCCACCUAUUCCUUAUGCUUAUCUUCUCCUUUACAGUCACUCCUCCUCCUCCUCCUCCUCCUCCUCCUCCUCCUCCUCCUCCUCCUCCUCCUCCUCCUUCUUCUCCUCCUCCUCCACUUCCUCCUAAUUGUUCUCCUAAUAACCAUCAAAUUCCUAAAUCUAUCUCACCCGUAUCUACUACCCCUCCUCCUCCUCCUCCUCCUCUUCCUCCUCCGUACAAUCAUCUUAUACCUCCUCCUCUUUCCCGUUUCCCUCCUCCUCCUUCUCUUCCUCCUUCUCCUCCUCCUCCAGCUCCUGCUCCUCCACUCGCUGUAGAUACAACACUCACGUAUAAGUGCAGGUUACUGCUGUAAUAAAUUUGUAACUUCCCA